UACGGGGGGGGCAAGCGUUGUUCGGAAUUACUGGGCGUAAAGGGCUCGUAGGCGGCCAACUAAGUCAGACGUGAAAUCCCUCGGCUUAACCGGGGAACUGCAUCUGAUACUGGAUGGCUUGAGUUCGGGAGAGGGAUGGCGGAAUUCCAGGUGUAGCGGUGAAAUGCGUAGAUAUCUGGAGGAACACCGGUGGCGAAGGCGGCGAUCCUGG
rnacentral:rRNA from 1 species